GCCGGCGAACAUUGAUAUCGUUUCCGCGAUUAAUCAAGAUUUAAUGACCUCUGGAAAUGGGACUCAGCCGAGAACCGUACAGGAGGGCGAGAGUCACCGAACACAGGGACUGCAAGUUGGACCUGCACUUUUUAUUGAGGUGUUGUGUUAGAGCAGCCAUAGAAACCAAUGCCAAAUAAAGUUCACAGGGUGGAAGCAUUGGCAACGUAUAACAAAUUUCCAGACUUCAACUUGGUGUAGCCAAACUUCUAUGACAUCUUCCAUACACUGCACACACAGAAGAGGGGGUCCUGCUCUCUCGUAUCUUUGUAUCACACCCUCAGAAGCAGCAGCAGCAUUAUAUAGCAGUACUGAGCAGUGUAACCAAUUUAUCAAGCCCUGCGGCGAUAUCUAAUACUCCAUGUAUCAUGGCUUCUUCUUUAGUGUAGGAACUGGUACAGUGAAAAUAUGGGAAUCCCCAGGCUAAAACAAGCUCUUGUGAAUCUACAGGACAUAUAAUCCAGAACAUAUCACGUAACAGACUGACCCCACUCACCUAACAACCUGGUUAGGAUAUGUGAUGGGCCAUCAAUCACAACCCACUUUAACAUUAAACUUCACCUUGUGAAUGUUCCUGAAUGUAACAUUUUUGUUGAUCGAUUAUGUUGUAGGGUAUAAUUUUGUAUACAGGUUAUUUAGACAUGUACCUUUAAGAAUAUAAUAUACAUUCUUACGCAGUCUUGUGUUUCAGGGCUGGAGUGGGUGUUGUAGG